GCACAAGCGGUGGAGCAUGUGGAUUAAUUCGAUGCAACGCGAAAAACCUUACCUGGUCUUGACAUGCUAGGAAUCUCUGAGAGAUCAGAGAGUGCCCGAAAGGGAGCCUAGACACAGGUGCUGCAUGGCUGUCGUCAGCUCGUGUCGUGAGAUGUUGGGUUAAGUCCCGCAACGAGCGCAACCCUUGCCAUUAGUUGCCAUCAUUAAGUUGGGCACUUUAAUGGGACUGCCGGUGACAAACCGGAGGAAGGUGGGGAUGACGUCAAGUCCUCAUGGCCCUUAUGACCAGGGCUUCACACGUCAUACAAUGGUCGGUACAGAGGGUUGCCAAGCCGCGAGGUGGAGCUAAUCUCAUAAAACCGAUCGUAGUCCGGAUCGCAGUCUGCAACUCGACUGCGUGAAGUCGGAAUCGCUAGUAAUCGCGGAUCAGCAUGUCGCGGUGAAUACGUUCCCGGG
rnacentral:rRNA from 1 species